GCGAUACAGCCUUGAAAACCUUCCCCAGACUAUCCGUCUCCCAGGCGCGAAAGAAAAAGGCUUAGUUCUUUCCCCGCCUGUGGAGUCUGCACAUUGGAUUUGUGCCCUCCCAAAUCCUGUUCUGGCCAGGAGGCUUCUCACCCUGUUCAAAUUGUUACAAAGUUCAGCGAGAGAUUUCCUUCUCCCUGUGUAGUUUCACUCCCUGUUCCUCUCCCGCUGGAUCCCUGUGGUGCCAGGCAGGAAUGGCGUGCGAGGCGACCCAGCCAGCUCCCAGGGCCUUUCUGCUGCUUCCUCUACUUAUGUAUUUCACUCAGCUCUCCAAACUGACUCAGCUCCAGAUGUCUCAGCCAAGAAGUGUAUCACAUUGACACCAACUUAACUCAUGACUGCAGGCUGGCUUUCCAAUCCAUUAGUGCCCUCCACAAGUCAAGUGUUGGACCACAGGAAAUGAAGAAGUAGAGCUUUGGUUUACAUAUGUUGACGUGAACAACUCAGUUGCACCCGUUAUGAGAGUAACUGCUCAGCUUAUGAUGAGUGAAUAGGUCAUCCAGCAAGAAACAGAAAACACAGAAAUGGACCUUCUUUGGGAGCAGGGUAGCAAGGUGCUGACAGCUUAAUGAAUGACUUGUCUGUUAUGACAGUAGGACACCUAGCAAUGCCAAGAGCAAAUAUUUGAAAGAAUAUGCAAUGCAGGAAAUGUAUGUAUGUUCUAUGUAUAGGACACUUAGAUUGCCUGUAUCACUAACAGAUGGGCAGCAUUUGAGAAAUCUUAUUUUAUAAUGUGCAACAUCACUCCUGUCAGAUACACUUUGAGAUCUGGGGAUUAAUGGAGCAUGGCACUCAGAGUAAAAUGGGAAUUCCAUGGUAUGUACUGAGGGAUUGGGGGUUUUAGGGAUAGAUGAGCUCAACAGAGAAUAUUGUCCAUAUUUUUUACAGGUAUAACUCCGAUUUCAUUUAUAAUUUAAUAAUAAACAGCUGCAGACGCCAUGUCAGAUGAAAUACUGCUUCCCUUCGUCAAAACCAUGGGGAAGCUCAAGCACCAAGAAGCCCAGAAGAGGCGAGUGCUGGGUGCCUCUAGUCAACCAUGUUGAUGACGUCCUUUCUAGAAAACACCCUGAUACCUUGUGCCUGUGCUUCCAAGGUGGCUGACGCUGUGCCUGUGCUUCCGAGGUGGCUGACUUCUAACUGAGUGCAGUGGAGACCCCGUGGUGCUUUACAGAACAGAUGGCAGUGCUGCCCAAGCUCAGAACACAGCUGGACGGAUCCCCAUUUUUAAAAUGUUGCUUUUAAAGUUCCUUGGUCUAUUUUAAGUCUUAGACAAUAGAGCACUAAUUUGUGUCCACAGCUAGGGAAAAAGCACCCCAAAUACUCAUGUUAUGUCACUUUCAGUACCACAAUUCAAAUAGUGAAAGACGAUGCUUCCAUGUACCACGUAUAGGUCUCUACUAGUGAUUUUUCUCUCAUUUCAACCUAGCUUCACAUAUUUUUAUGGUAUAGCUAACUCAACAUUGAUUCUAUACAAAAUAUAUUAUCUAAGAUAGUCUUUAAAAAUAUUUGAAUUCCACUGGGAUUUGUUUAAACCCCUACACAAAUAAUUACCUCUUACUAAAAACACUGAGUUUGGCAAGUGAAAUUUUGUAAUAAGGUGAAGAUUCAAUAAAAUCUUGUCUCAAACUAAUG
rnacentral:lncRNA from 10 species